GAUAAGGGAGGUAAAGGUAAAAAAAAAAAGGCCACGGUGGCGAAGUAAAUACAAUAUAGCAAAAAUAUAAUAUGGCUUCACUUUCACAAAUACUCAGAAUACAUUCAAAUAUAAAAAGAUGGUUUUAAUUCAUUAACCAAUUAUUUAUUUAAUGUCCAUUUCCCGUGUGGUCCCCAGGGCUGUGACUCCGCGAUCUCAUCCAUGUUGAACGAGGCCCAGUGGUCAGUGUCUGGACUCGGCCCUGCAGGUCAUCAGCUACCUGGCGGCUCCACGUGACCAAGCUGUGGGCCAAGGCCACGGGCAAGCAGUCUGUGGUCCUGUCUCUGUUGGAGGGGACCUGUAAAGGGGUGCAUUCUCUCCUGGAGGAGGGCCUGACUAUCUCCAAGGAGAUGCUGAGUGAUAGCUGACCUACCCCAGGACCCACCCCGGUUUUGCAGAGCCUCAAGUCGAAGAUGCUCGACCUGUCCUGCCCUCUCCAGAGCUAUAUCCACUGCCACAUGACGGUGAGCACUGAGCAACACAAACCCAACCAGCCCUGUCAGUCUUUCUUCAGAUUAGUAGCCCCUCCCACAGCCAGCCCUGUCAGUCUUUCUUCAGAUUAGUAGCCCCUCCCACAGCCAGCCCUGUCAGUCUUUCUUCAGAUUAGUAGCCCCUCCCACAGCCAGCCCUGUCAGUCUUUCUUCGGAUUAGUAGCCCCUCCCACAGCCAGCCCUGUCAGUCUUUCUUCAGAUUAGUAGCCCCUCCCACAGCCAGCCCUGUCAGUCUUUCUUCAGAUUAGUAGCCCC